rnacentral:rRNA from 1 species
ACCCGGAGGAAGAGAAAUCAAACGAGAUGCCCACAGUAGCGGCGAGCGAAGAGGGCAGAGCCCAAACCGAGAAGCUCCGGCUUUUCGGGGUUGAGGACCGGCAGAAUCGAAGUCAGGCCUAGUUGAAUUACCUGGAAAGGUAAGCGAGAGAGGGUAAAAGCCCCGUAGACGAAAGGCAGAGCAGAGAGGCCGAGAUCCAGAGUACCACGAAGCACGAGGAAUUUUGUGGGAAGCAGGGGGGACCACCCUCCAAGGCUAAAAACUACUUGGCGACCGAUAGCGCAUAGUACCGUGAGGGAAAGGUGAAAAGAACCCCGGGAGGGGAGUGAAAUAGUACCUGAAACCGUAUGUCUACAAGCAGUCGAAGCGAAAGCGACGGCGUGCCUAUUGAAGAAUGAACCAACGAGUUAUCUGCACUAGCGAGGUUAAGUGGAAGACACGGAGCCGCAGCGAAAGCGAGUCUUAAGAGGGCGCUAGUUAGUGUAGGUAGACCCGAAACCGCAGUGAUCUACCCAUGUCCAGGUUGAAGCGCAGGUAAAAUUGCGUGGAGGACCGAACCGGUGAGCGUUGAAAAGCUUUCGGAUGAGAUGUGGGUAGGGGUGAAAUUCCAAUCGAACGCGGAGAUAGCUGGUUCUCCCCGAAAUAGCUUUAGGGCUAGCCUGAGGUAGUAAGUAUAGGCGGUAGAGCACUGAUCGGGCUAGGGGCCGUAAAGGUUACCGAACCCUGUCAAACUCCGAAUGGAUAUACUGUAGAGCCUUGGAGUCAGACUACGAGUGAUAAGAUCCGUGGUCAAAAGGGAAACAGCCCAGACCACCAGCUAAGGUCCCCAAUGUCGUACUAAGUGGAAAAGGAUGUGGGGUUUCAUAAACAACCAGGAUGUUGGCUCAGAAGCAGCCACCAUUUAAAGAGUGCGUAAUAGCUCACUGGUCGAGAGACCCUGCGCCGAAGAUUCCCGGGGCUAAAGUACGAAACCGAAGCUGUGGCUGUAUACGUAAAGUAUACGGGGUAGGGGAGCGUUCCCAUAGGGUAGAAGUCGAACUGGAAGGUUCGGUGGACUUGUGGGAAGUGAGAAUGUUGGUAUGAGUAGCGAAAAGAAAGGUGAGAAUCCUUUCCACCGAAAGCAUAAGGAUUCCUGAGCAACGAUCGUCGUCUCAGGGUAAGUCGGGACCUAAUCCGAGGCAGAGAGCGUAGGAGAUGGACAACUGGUUGAUAUUCCAGUACCGGUAGUAAUUGUUUGAGCAAUGGAGUGACACAGAAGGGCAGGCAAGCAUGCGAAUGGAAGAGCAUGUGUAAGCGUGUAGGGUGGUGCAUAGGCAAAUCCGUGCACUGAAAGCCUGAGGCGUGAUGCGGAGUGAGCAGAGAUGCGAGCGAAGUUGUUGACCCCACACUGUCGAGAAAAGCUUCUAGUGAGAGAGCUACCGCCCGUACCGUAAACCGACACAGGUAUGCGGGGAGAGAAUCCUAAGGUGCGCGGGAGAACCCUCGUUAAGGAACUCGGCAAAAUGUACCCGUAACUUCGGGAUAAGGGUAGCCACUGUUGUGAAGUCCCAUGCGGAUGGAGCAUAGAGUGGUCGCAGAGAAGAGGCCCAAGCGACUGUUUACCAUAAACACAGGUGCCUGCUAAAGCGAAAGCUGACGUAUAGGUGCUGACACCUGCCCAGUGCCGGAAGGUUAAGGAAGGAUGUUCGGAGUAAUCCAAAGCAUUCGACUGAAGCCCCGGUGAACGGCGGCCGUAACUAUAACGGUCCUAAGGUAGCGAAAUUCCUUGUCGGGUAAGUUCCGACCCGCACGAAAGGUGUAACGAUUUGGGCACUGUCUCAACGAGGGACCCGGUGAAAUUGAAAUACCUGUGAAGAUGCAGGUUACCCGCGACUGGACAGAAAGACCCCAUGGAGCUUUACUGUAACCUGACAUUGGGUUUUGAUACAUUACGUACAGGAUAGGUGGGAGGCUUGGAAAGCUGGACGCUAGUCUGGCUGGAGCCGACGUUGGGAUACCACCCUUGAUGUAUUGAAAUUCUAACCGCGAGAGUAACGAAAUCCGGGACAGUGUCAGGCGGGCAGUUUGACUGGGGCGGUCGCCUC